GAUGACAAAUUUCUUGUGAAAAAGAUAAAGACACCCACAAACCAAGAUUCCAUCUCAGAGGCAGAAAUCCUGAAGACAGUCAGUCAUCCUCAUAUUGUGAGCUGGAAAAACUCCUUUAAAGGUGAAAAUGAGGACAUCUACUACGCAGUGACUGAUUAUUGUCAUGGAGGAAACCUCGCUGACAAGAUCAAAGAUAGACCACAAGAGUUUCAGUACAAAAACAUCUCAGUCAACCACAAAUUCAGAGUCGCCAGAUUCAGUGAGUUAUAUGGCCCCAGAGGUCUUCACACUGGGGACCAAUGAUGCUAAAAGGUAAAAGGGUUUUUACCAAAAUGAAAAAUUUACUUGAGACAACACUAGUGUUUCUUUCUUAAGUUCCUGCAGGUUUUUUUGGGGGCCAAUAUUUUGGCUGCAAUGAGUGAUUAUUUGUACUAUUGAUGAAUCUAUUCUUUUUUUAAAUUAUUGAGUGUAUGAAAUAACAAAAAUAUUGAGAACUGAGAAUAAUGUGAGUGACGUACAAAUCAAAUCAAUUCAGCAACUCCAUAAAAAGAAACAGAAGUCUGUAAUUCACUCUGAGCUUUAUUUUCCUAAAAUAGUUUGCAGUAGUAAACUUGUGUAUAAAUUCCAGGCACAUAUGGGUGUGUCCAACAAGUUUCGGAAUUUUUGUGACCACAGGUACAGCGCAGUUUUGUGUGUAACCAGGCACACUGUGGAGAAGAGACAUAAAUACAUUAAUAGAGGGGGGGAUCCAUCAUA